rnacentral:misc_RNA from 1 species
AGAGGCGCAUUUGACAGUCGUGAAAAUUUGUUCGGAAACGUUCGACAAAUGGCGUUCGGUAUUAAAAGUGCGAUGUGUGGUGCGUGUAAACAAAAGUACAUUGAAGUUCUGCGAAAUGUUUGGCAAACCUGACGCCAGCCUGCGAUAAAUGUUAACUUCGUCAAACGAUUCUGUGAACGUUGGUGUCGAGGAGUAUUUUGGUUACCAUCCGGUCGACAAGGCAUUCCAACGUGCAUUGUCGUAAACGAUGCCGAUAAUCUCCGAUCUGCAUUAGCAUCGAAGGAUGAAGCUAGAAGUGCAAAUAAAAAGUACCACACAAUUUUUUCUUUCGCUUGCAUCUUCUUCGACC